GAUGAACGCUGGCGGCGUGCUUUAUACAUGCCAGUCGAGCGAUCGGACGCGAAGCUUGCCUCUCUGAUGUUAGAGGCGGAAGGGAGAGUAAGAAAUGGAUAAACUCUCUAUAAGAAUGGGCUAGAUUCGGGAACUCAGAGCUAAUACGGGCUAAUGAUGUGAACAGGAUGGCUUAAAAGUUCACGCAGGUCUUGCUGUCGCUUUUAGAUGGAUCCGCGCUUCAUUAGCUAGUUGGUAAGGUCACGGCUUACCAAGGCAACGAUGCAUAGCCGACCUGAGAGGGUGAUCGGCCACACUGGAACUGAGACACGGUCCAGACUCCUACGGGAGGCAGCAGUAGGGAAUCUUCCGCAAUGGGCGAAAGCCUGACGGAGCAACGCCGCGUGAGUGAUGAAGGUCUUCGGAUCGUAAAACUCUGUUAUUAGGGAAGAACAUAUGUGUAAGUAACUGUGCACAUCUUGACGGUACCUAAUCAGAAAGCCACGGCUAACUACGUG
rnacentral:rRNA from 1 species